CCUACGGGAGGCUGCAGUGGGGAAUAUUGCACAAUGGGGGAAACCCUGAUGCAGCGACGCCGCGUGAGUGAAGAAGUAUCUCGGUACGUAAAGCUCUAUCAGCAGGGAAGUAAAUGACGGUACGUGACUAAGAAGCCCCGGCUAACUAGGUGCAGCAGCCGCGGUAAUACGUAGGGGGCACGCGUUAUCCGGAUUUACUGGGGGGAUAGGGAGCGUAGACGGCAAGACAAGUCUGGAGUGAAAUCCUGGGGCUUAACCCCGGAACUGCGUUGGACACUGUGCGGCUGGAGUGCAGGAGAGGUAAGCGGAAUUCGUAGUGUAGCGGUGAAAUGCGUAGAUAUCAGGAGGAACACCGGUGGCGAAGGCAGCUUACUGGACUGUAACUGACGUUGAGGCUCGAAAGCGUGGGGAGCAAACAGGAUUAGAUACCCGUGUAGUC
rnacentral:rRNA from 1 species